UGUGAUUAGUCAGGAUGAUGCCAAGGGAAGCCAGCCGCUGUCUGACUUCACGCCUGUCAAAUCACAGCAUGCGAUCAACGUCAUUCAGAUGAAAUAACGGGAGCUGUUAGCAACUUUAGCUGGUGCAGUUAUGGAGGGUGGAGAUUUGGAGGUUUAGUUAUAAUAAAUAGCUUUAUUAAACUACCACUACAGCAGCAAUUUAAGAUUAAAUCUGAUGGAAGACCAACGCCAAAACUGGAGCUGGCCUGGAGAGGAAAAAGGGGUUUCGGAUGUUUAGUGAGGAAAACUCCAUCCGUACAGAGUGGCUAGCUGGUAGCGCCAAACUUCAGUUGACUCUGUUGCAAUGGGAAAUUCUAUAACUUGGUUAUUGACCACUUCGCCACCAUGACAGACAGGAGAAUGCCCUUCCUUUUCAAAUAGGCUGUUUAUGUCUCCCUGGGAAAGUGGGCGUCACUUCUUCUGCAACAAUGAAGUUGAAAAGACCAUCACCUUGUGUGAUGAUCUGUGGGGAGACGCUUUUCUCCUGCCUGUAGGUGUGUCUGCUCCUCUCUGUUGAGGUGGUGGCAGUAGAAACGAGAGGUCGAGGAGCGCGACAGAGAGGGAGAGCAGCUCAUGCAGCAUCGACAAGCUACUUCUUCGUUGUUGGGACACAGAAAUAUUUGUUCUUCCAGAUGUUUCAGAUUUGAGGAUCUCAACCAAAUGCAUCCAUAGGGCUGUUUUGUAUUAUUCUUUCCGACACUGACCAGUAGUGUUGUAGUACACAAGACCGGUCUUGGUCUCAAGACCACCUUUUGAUGGUCUCGGUCCCCUCUCGGGAUUGACUGCAUUUGUUCUUGUUCUCGACUCUGGAUUAUUUCAAGAGCAGUCAAGACCUGAACUUUGGAAAUAUCAAUAUAUUGCCUGAAUGUUGUCUGAUUUAUUUGUUAAUAUACUAACUUUUGAUGUAAAACGUAUUGCUUCAAAUGCAACCAAUAACGCUAAUUAAAAACGCAGUUGUUACUGUUAA